GGUGAGCUGGGGCUGGGGGGGGGCCGGGGGGGGCCGGGGGGGCACCGGGACCCCCCCACACUGACGCUGCCCCCCCCGCAGCCCCCCACACCGGGCAAGACCCCCCCCGAGGGCGCCUGGGCAUCCGCCGCCGCCCCCCCGCACCCCGCCGCCGGCCGCCGCGCGCAGCAAACGCUGGAGGAGGAAGAGGAGGAGGAGGAGGAGGAGGAGCUGGUCUUCGCCGAGGGCGGCCCCUGGGGAGACCGCCGGGACGCCGGGACGCAGACGGAGCCGAUGGCGCCCGCCGGCGCCGGCACUGCCGCACUGCUGGCGCAGCUGGUGCAGCUGCGGGAGGAGCGCGACCGGCUGCUGGAGGAGAACCGGCGGCUGCGGGCGGCCCCGGGAGGGGGGGGGACAACGGCGGCGGCGCUGCCCCCGCUGCUGGGGGCCAUGGGGGCCCUGCGCCUGCAGCCCGG
rnacentral:lncRNA from 1 species